rnacentral:rRNA from 1 species
AUACGUAGGGUGCAAGCGUUAAUCGGAAUUACUGGGCGUAAAGCGUGCGCAGGCGGUUUUGUAAGACAGUGGUGAAAUCCCCCGGCUCAACCCGGGAACUGCCAUUGUGACUGCAAGGCUGGAGUGCGGCAGAGGGGGGUGGAAUUCCGCGUGUAGCAGUGGAAUGCGUAGAUAUGCGGAGGAACACCGAUGGCGAAGGCAAUCCCCUGGGCCUGCACUGACGCUCAUGCACGAAAGCGUGGGGAGCAAACAGGAUUAGAUACCCUGGUAGUCCACGCCCUAAACGAUGUCAACUGGUUGUUGGGGAUUUAUUUUCUCAGUAACGAAGCUAACGCGUGAAGUUGACCGCCUGGGGAGUACGGCCGCAAGGUUAGAACUCAAAGGAAUUGACGGGG